ACAGCCUCAUAUUAGCCUUAGUAUGAUCACAAAAAAGCACGGCUGUGUAUUUGAUGUAAAAUUAGUGGUGUAACGACGACUUAGCAACCGGACAUCAAAGUAAAAAACAUGCUACAAUUCGAUACUAGAGCUUUAUUCGUCUUCCGGAAUUUUAUAGAAUUCGCCGGUUGAGAAUCUAAUGAACCAUGGGUAAUUUCAUUGUUCGUACCCUAAAUUAAAAAUAACGUCAGGCCAUUGGAUGAAUUUCAAUUGUUUUGAAGGUUGCUAGCCAAUCACAGUGUUUUGGCGUUUGCUUUUGAAAAUAUUAACCAGAAUACAUUAAAUCCUGAAACGGCUUAUGGCUCCUGUAUUAUUAUUUUAUUGUUCACAUACCAUAAAGAAGAAAUUUACUCAGUUUAAUAUGUUGUCAUUUUUGCCCAUUCAGGCACGCCAUUGUACCCCAACAAUGCAAACAUUGUUGAGACGUGUCUUCAUGUAGGCAUUAUGAGCCUGUAACUCAUUUUUGUCGUUAGUUGUCGUCUCUCAUACCGGUAAGUGUUUUGUCCUGUCGGGACCUUUUAUAGCCGACUAUACGCUUUGGGUUUUGAACAUUAUCGUAGGCCGUACGGUGACCUAAAGCUGUUAACAAUCACGUCAUUUGGACUCUGAUAGAUAACUGUCUCAUAUACAAAUCUCCUUAUUCUUAUGUUACGUUUUCAAAUUUCUUUUUAUUUUAGCAUGUUUAUGCGGAUUGGUAUUUUAUCAAUGUCAGAACCACUGGGUAUAUCACGGACAUUCAUGCUUUUACUUCAGUUCAUAUACAACGGAUUGGUAUCAGGCAUCGGGAAAAUGUAGAGAACAUAACUCAGUUUUAGCCUUGAUUCAGUCCAAGGAAGUCAGUAAUUGGAUAGACAAUAAACUAAAAGGACAUGAUGGCAUAUUUUACGUCGGGGCAUCAGACGAGUUUGUGGAAGGAGUAUGGGAGUGGGCAUUUAGCGGGGAAACAGUUACAUUUUCUAACUGGGCACCAGGACAAGGACAAGGAAGUAAUUCGGCUGAUGAUUGUCUAGUGAUUUAUAAUAAGAAUCCAAAUGUGAGCGGCACGUGGUAUGACAUUAAAUGUUCCCAUCGUCACAACUUCAUUUGUCAACAAAGUGCGUCUGUACCGGUUGUUGGAUAAUCGUAUGGACGUUACAAACUACUUAUGAAUUAUAAAUUAGAAUAAAUAGUAUAAUA